UACGGGGGGGGGCAAGCGUUGUUCGGAAUUACUGGGCGUAAAGGGCCAGUAGGCGGCCAACUAAGUCCGACGUGAAAUCCCAAGGCUUAACCUUGGAACUGCGUCGGAUACUGGAUGGCUUGAAUUCGGGAGAGGGAUGCAGAAUUCCAGGUGUAGCGGUGAAGUGCGUAGAUAUCUGGAGGAAUACCGGUGGCGAAGGCGGCAUCCUGGACCGACAUUGACGCUGAACGGCGAAAGCUAGGGGAGCAAACGGG
rnacentral:rRNA from 1 species